UUAAUAAAUAAUAAUAGUUUUUGUUUACAUUCACAAAUCCAAUAUCUACUACCACCGUUUGCAAGAAUGUUAUCAACCCAAGCUGGGGUUAGUUUGUUUAUUUUUCAUUCGUUUUUGGAGUAAUGUUUUGACUCCUUGGCUCUGAAAUUAAGCCACAAAAAAAAAAAGCUACCAUUCCAUAAAGAAACCUACUCCACAAUUCCACGGCUCGCAAUACUCCCACAAACACUGGGGCUCUCCUCCUACUGUGCUCUUGCUGCAGUGCAGACUGCUGCCACCUGCCCUCAAAGAAGAAAUAUUACAGUUCACGUUUGGAAGACAUCUCACCACACUAUGGAUUUAAUCCUGGUUAAGUAUGUUGCCUGUGGCACCCUUAAACACGUGAGUGGCUUAUCAAUUUUCCCCUACUCACCUUCCAUCAUUCCAUUAAUUAUUUCUUCUAAUUUAUAUCCCUCUCUCUUUUUUUGCAGUUGCAAUUUACUGACGUCAUGUCUCACAUGCAUGCCUAACAUUGGACCUGGAUGUGGAUGAGGAGGAAGCAAAUAGAAAAACACAUGAGGUUUUUUCAGCACUUCAUAGUUUUUUGACAUCGAAAUAAUUUCUUCUAUGCCAUUGUCAGUGUAUCACCUCCACACUUCCCAGAGCUACAAAUCUAAACUCAUGCUCUAUCUUGGCCCUGGUAUUUUGAUUCCAUUCUGACCACCAGGGAUCUGAAUGCUGCUCAGCUCCAUGCAAGAUAACAUAUUUAUCAGCAUAUGACACGCACAUUUAACUCCUGAAAAGCUUUCUGUUAAAGACGGAAGAAAGAGUGAAGAUAAUGUUGAAGAUAAAGUUCUUAAAGGGUCCCAGUAGGUUGCAGUUUGCGCAGUCCUCCUUGAUAUAUCAAUCCCCCUUCAAAUCACAGUGUCCCUUUCACAGUCACGUUCUAAAGAUCAUGCACUUACCCUGAGGAGGAGCAAUGGUCCUGCCAGAAGCCGAUGCUGGAGGGUCUUGAAUGCAGCUUUCUGUUAAAGACGGAAGAAAGAGUGAAGAGUCAAGCUCUAUGAUUUUGACCCCUGCUGCUGAAUCCAGGGACAUCCUCUGCCAGAAGGACAUCUCUUAGCUCCGCCUCCCACUCUCGCAACUUGAUAGGCUUUCCUCGGUUUUGUCCUAGUCGAAGCCUCUGCAUCUUCUUUGUAACCGUUGCCCGACAAUCAUAGAACCUGCAAAUGUACAUAAACAUUACAAUUACAUUAAUAAAAAAACAAAUACUUAGAUUAAUGUUUUUUGAAAACCACAUUUCUUUUCACAUUGUGAUGGUUAUAUGUAUACUGUUCAGCAUGUGGCUGUGACAAAUAAAUUUUUUGGUUACGUUGAACUGUUA